GUCGAGCGGCAACAGAUCUACCUUGCUGGAUGCUGACGAGCGGCGGACGGGUGAGUAAUGCAUAGGAAUCUGCCCGAUAGUGGGGGAUAACCUGGGGAAACCCAGGCUAAUACCGCAUACGUCCUACGGGAGAAAGGGGGCUCCGGCUCCCGCUAUGGGAUGAGCCUAUGUCGGAUUAGCUAGUUGGUGAGGUAACGGCUCACCAAGGCCACGAUCCGUAGCUGGUCUGAGAGGAUGAUCAGCCACAUCGGGACUGAGACACGGCCCGAACUCCUACGGGAGGCAGCAGUGGGGAAUAUUGGACAAUGGGGGCAACCCUGAUCCAGCCAUGCCGCGUGUGUGAAGAAGGCCCUCGGGUUGUAAAGCACUUUCAGCGAGGAAGAACGCCUAGCGGUUAAUACCCGCUAGGAAAGACAUCACUCGCAGAAGAAGCACCGGCUAACUCCGUGCCAGCAGCCGCGGUAAUACGGAGGGUGCAAGCGUUAAUCGGAAUUACUGGGCGUAAAGCGCGCGUAGGUGGCUUGAUAAGCCGGUUGUGAAAGCCCCGGGCUCAACCUGGGAACGGCAUCCGGAACUGUCAAGCUAGAGUGCAGGAGAGGAAGGUAGAAUUCCCGGUGUAGCGGUGAAAUGCG
rnacentral:rRNA from 1 species